CGCAGCCGCGGUAAUUCCAGCUCCAAUAGCGUAUAUUAAAGUUGUUGCAGUUAAAAGCUCGUAGUUGAAUUUCGGAAUCUGUCCAUCGGUCGGGCUUCACUGUCCGUACUGGUGUGGUGGGUUCUUACCUUCUGAAUAACCAGCAUGCCAUUCACUUGGUGCGCUGGGGAAGCAGGACUAUUACCUUGAAAAAUUGAGUGCUCAAAGCAGGCUAGUGCCUGAAUACAUUAGCAUGGAAUAAUAAAAUAGGACGGCAUGGUUUUAUUUGUUGGUUUCUAGGAUCACCGUAAUGAUUAAUAGGGAUAGUUGGGGGCAUUAGUAUUCAAUUGUCAGAGGUGAAAUUCUUGGAUUUAUUGAAGACUAACUUCUGCGAAAGCAUUUGCCAAGGAUGUUUUCAUUAAUCAAGAACGAAGUUAGGGAUCGAAGACGAUCAGAUACCGUCGUAGUCUUAACCAUAAACUAUGCCGACUAGGGAUCGGACGAUGUUAAUUUUUAAUGUACUCGUUCGGUCCG
rnacentral:misc_RNA from 1 species